UACGGAGGAUGCAAGCGUUAUCCGGAUUUAUUGGGUUUAAAGGGUGCGUAGGCGGAAGAAUAAGUCAGUGGUGAAAUCCUGCAGCUUAACUGUAGAACUGCCAUUGAUACUGUUUUUCUUGAGUAUAGUUGAGGCAGGCGGAAUGUGUAAUGUAGCGGUGAAAUGCUUAGAUAUUACACAGAACACCGAUUGCGUAGGCAGCUUGCUAAGCUAUAACUGACGCUGAGGCACGAAAGCGUCGGGAUCGAACAGG
rnacentral:rRNA from 1 species